AACGAACGCUGGCGGCAUGCCUAACACAUGCAAGUCGAACGAGACCUUCGGGUCUAGUGGCGCACGGGUGCGUAACGCGUGGGAAUCUACCCUCAGGUUCGGAAUAACUCAGAGAAAUUUGAGCUAAUACCGGAUGAUGACGUAAGUCCAAAGAUUUAUCGCCUGAGGAUGAGCCCGCGUAGGAUUAGGUAGUUGGUGAGGUAAAGGCUCACCAAGCCGACGAUCCUUAGCUGGUCUGAGAGGAUGAUCAGCCACACUGGGACUGAGACACGGCCCAGACUCCUACGGGAGGCAGCAGUGGGGAAUAUUGGACAAUGGGCGAAAGCCUGAUCCAGUAAUGCCGCGUGAGUGAUGAAGGCCUUAGGGUUGUAAAGCUCUUUUACCCGGGAUGAUAAUGACAGUACCGGGAGAAUAAGCUCCGGCUAACUCCGUG
rnacentral:rRNA from 1 species